rnacentral:rRNA from 1 species
UACAGAGGUCUCAAGCGUUGUUCGGAUUCAUUGGGCGUAAAAGGGUGCGUAGGCGGGCGCGGUAAGUCGGAUGUGAAAUCUCGGGGCUUAACUCCGAAACUGCAUUCGAUACUGCCGUGCUUGAGGACUGGAGAGGAGACUGGAAUUACGGUGUAGCGGUGAAAUGCGUAGAUAUCGUAAGGAAGACCAGUGGCGAAGGCGGGUCUCUGGACAGUUCCUGACGCUGAGGCACGAAGGCCAGGGGAGCAAACGGG